rnacentral:tRNA from 1 species
GUCCGGGCGUCGAGCGGCUGGUCGGAGCGCUCCAGGAUGGCGUUGAGCCGGACCCGGGGCCGGGCCACCCGGUUCGGGUCCAGCCCGGGAA